rnacentral:piRNA from 1 species
UAGCAGUUAGAGAAAAGCACUGGAUGCUAAGC